UCGCAAAUGCAUGGAAGGGGCCUUCAA
rnacentral:piRNA from 1 species